AUUGAACGCUGGCGGCAUGCCUUACACAUGCAAGUCGAACGGCAGCACGGGGGCAACCCUGGUGGCGAGUGGCGAACGGGUGAGUAAUGCAUCGGAACGUGCCCAGUCGUGGGGGAUAACCAGUCGAAAGACUGGCUAAUACCGCAUACGACCUACGGGUGAAAGCGGGGGACCGUAAGGCCUCGCGCGAUUGGAGCGGCCGAUGUCUGAUUAGCUAGUUGGCGGGGUAAAGGCCCACCAAGGCGACGAUCCGUAGCUGGUCUGAGAGGACGAUCAGCCACACUGGGACUGCGAAACGGCCCAGACUCCUACGGGAGGCAGCAGUGGGGAAUAUUGGACAAUGGGGGCAACCCUGAUCCAGCAAUGCCGCGUGUGUGAAGAAGGCCUGCGGGUUGUAAAGCACUUUUGGCAGGGAUGAAAAGCACUGGAUUAAUAACCCAGUGUGUUGACCUAACCUGCAGAAGAAGCACCGGCUAACUCUGUGCCAGCAGCCGCCGUAAAAC
rnacentral:rRNA from 1 species